CUGGUGGCCUCCCCUCCUAGCCGCCCCCAAGUCGGGCAUGGCUUUCGUCACAGCCGGCUCUUUCCUGCCCGGGUCAGGGCGGGUUCCCCCCGCGGCGGCGCGGAGCGCGGGGCCAACCGCGCACCCUUAUCUCGGCCGAGUCAGACACUCGCCGCGCGGAAUCUGUUGACAUUUACUAUUGUUCGCAGGAGUCCGGAGCACGGGCGGGGGCGGGAUGGAGGCGAGGAGAGGGAGGGCGGCGAGUGUGGGGCAGUCGGCCCGAGUGUGUGUUUUGUGUGAGCUCGCGAAGGUGGGGGGGUGUGUGCGCGCCGGCUCCACGGAAAAAAAAAAAAAGAAAAGUGGCCCGCGGGCCCGGAAGCUUCCGAGCCGGCUGACCGGGCUACGCCGGGAAUUGUGGCGGUGCCGGGCGCGCCGAACGGGAGAUGGGGCAGCCGGCGGUGGGGUCCGCGGUCGGAGGGGGUUGGUUCCAGCCGCACGGCCCCCGGUGACCCGCAGGACACAAGUGCAUUUGUGCCGAGCCGUGGCGGGGAUUAAAGUGCCAUACGGCCCGAGCGAGGGGGGCGAGGCGGGUGGAAAACAACUCCCCGCGCGCACAAAGCGCGCAUUGUUCCAGCCACCUCCAUUAUGCCGCGCUGCAGCCAAGAGCCCGUUUCGCAACUGCCCGCCCGGCGCGCGCGCGCGCGCGCACGCACACACAGACCGCCACACACACACGCGCGCGCGCGCACACGCACACACAAGCACGAAUUCCCCCGGGCCGAGGCCAAGGGCCUACCCCGAGCGCACCCCGGAGCCUCGAGCUCCCCAGGAGAAGCGGCGACGGCGGGUGUGGGGAUCAGGGAGGGGCGCUCUCAGCCGCUGUCACCCGCGGAUCGCAGCCCCAGGCGUGCAGCGCUUGCCGGCUCUGCUGGGGACACGUGCUCGGGAGGAACGGGGGAAGCAUCCCGCCUUCCAAGGAGAGGCUCCCGGAGCGCCCCCAUCCCGGGCUCUCCAGGACUUCCCCUGGCCCGGAGCGGGAGCUGCGGAAUCCCGCGCCGCACUGCCGGGUCUGCCGGUUGGAGCUCGCCAACUAGGACAGCUCGGCCACCACUACCCUCACCACGCCAGUGCCCGGGCCCCGUCCUCCGCUCUCGCUGGCUUUCGCGGCACUGAUGGGCACCCAGAGAGGACUAUCAGGCCUGCCCGCCUCUUGGGAUCCUACCCUGUUCUUCCCCGGGAGCGCAGUGGGGAUGGGGGAGGCCGGGAGAGAACUAAGGCACCCUCUUCGCCUCCCGCCGCGCCCUCCCUGGUGGGCAGGUGGGGAGCGUAGGAGCCGGAGCGCGGCGAGCCAGCGCGGUCUGGUUUCCUUUACGUUUACAAGCUAUAAAUAAACUUCCCCUUGGGCGGAUGCGCGCUGCGUCC
rnacentral:lncRNA from 12 species